UACGAAGGGGGCUAGCGUUGCUCGGAAUCACUGGGCGUAAAGCGUGCGCAGGCGGUUUGUUAAGACAGGUGUGAAAUCCCCGGGCUUAACCUGGGAAUUGCGCUUGUAACUGGCAAGCUAGAGUGUGUCAGAGGGAGGUAGAAUUCCACGUGUAGCAGUGAAAUGCGUAGAGAUGUGGAGGAAUACCGAUGGCGAAGGCAGCCUCCUGGGAUAACACUGACGCUCAUGCACGAAAGCGUGGGGAGCAAACAGG
rnacentral:rRNA from 1 species